rnacentral:lncRNA from 1 species
GCAGAGGUGUAUUUUACAAAGCUGCCUGGGCCUGGCAUGAAGAUCAUGCCACUUUAAACAGCGAAUCUGUUAUUGUGAUGUUUGUGAGAGGAGAACAAGUGGGAAAGUCACUUUCAAGUGCAGCUCAGUGCUCUUUUAAUGAGGAAUGGGGUCUUCUUCAGAGUCAGCCAACUACUGAGGAGGAGCUGACACCCUUAGUAGUCAACAUCCUCAAAACAGCUGACAGCUCCAGAUAAAUCAGUUUGUGUACUUCCUCCCCUUCUCAUAUCACCUGCGGUGACAGGAAAGCACUAAUUUCCUUUGAGAGGGAGAGAGAGAUGGAUGCACGCGUGCAUCCUGGGCAUGUUGAUCCUUCAGUGUAAAAUUAACAAAAACAGAGGCCAGGGAGAGCUGGGAAUAGGCACAGCACUUUGUCAAGAGGAAGACUCUGCUGUGCACAACACUGCAUGCCCAGGGGCUCGGCACACAGGCUGUGACAUCGGCCCCCUGCACAAGCGGCACUUGGGCACCGCGCUUGGUCCUGCAGCUGGACACAGCCCAGCCCUGCACAUACAGCCACCUCGGAGGAGUUCUCCAACUCUUGCUACCCUUGGAGAGGACCAUGCCAGCAGCCAUCGGUGCUUAGCACCUCAUAAAGGCAAUCAGCAACUUGCAGAUUCAUUACAGCUCUGCAGGCUGGAAAUGGGCUGGAGCAGCACGGGCUGUUUUCUUCGGGAGGUGAAACAGCCCAGGUGAGUCAGGGACCGGAUCCAAAAUAACCCAGGUAGUCUUCAGAACAGCAUCAGAAUUGUAUUAAAAAAUACCGAGCAGACCUUUUCUAAGACAGAUGGCACACAAUGAGGUUAAAAAAAGUAUCUUGAGAUCCAACCAGCAAGAACAAAAAAAAAAAUUGCUUGCAUUGUUGUUUUCAUUAUCUUGCUUCUGUCAUUUCAUGAGCUUUGUAUCUUGCAAGGAAAGAAAGAAGGGAGAAAAACUGUGAAAUUAAUCUUUUGUGCAUGGCCUGAUAAAGAAGAGACAUGCUCAGACAAAAGAUAGACUGAGAGAAGGUACCGUGAUUGAUGACUAAAGUAAAGGUGUCAGAAGAGUAUUAUGUAAAUUACUGGAGGCACAGACCAUUUCAGAGAGAAUGAGAGGGAGAGGGGAAGCCAGGGAGAGAGAGAAAAAAAGGACUGCAGAGCCGAUGUCACCAAGACACUGGUCCCCAAGCGCCAAUUUCUUGCCAUCUUUCAUCUGCUCAGACAAGCUCACCUCACUUUCUAUUUGGUUUGCACAAUGUAACAAAGGAGGAAAAAACCUGUCAACAUUAGCAUGAAUACAGCCCAAAAGCGGGGUUCGAGCAGGCAGC